AAUUUAAAGAAUCUGUCUCAGAGAAGUGACGGUAGAGCAAUGAUUUGCUCUGAGAGAAUAGUCAGGCGAGGGGAAUAUUCCUGAACUGUGGAAAUCAGUCAAAUUAGAAAUGGGGUUUUGUAACCCGUUUAUAGCCAAGGGAGUGGAAUAUACAAUGAUCCUACCUGGUGGGGAAUCUUCUCAAACAUUCCCACCAUAAACUCAUGGCAGAUCAACAGAGCAGGAAAUUGUGGGGGGCACAUGAAGGCAAGGACAGGAAGACAGGAACAGGAAGGACAGGUGAAGAAAGAUGAGAUUUCCAUAAACAGGAAACAACCGUAUGGCUUCUUUACCUCUUAAAUCUUAUGUGGAGACAAGCAGAGAACCCCACUCCCAACCAGGAGAGAGGACCUACCUUCUCCCAUCCUUCCGGCUUAAUCCUGGCAGAUAUUCAACUCAGGGGCUGCAGAACACAUCUAAAUGGAAGGAAACUAAUUUAUGAAUCAGGCUACCAAGCGGGAUCAGGAAGGUGCUUGCUGUUCGGGAAGAAACAGCUCCAAAGCAAGAAUGUAGGGCCCAGGAAGAAAAGUCAUCCAACCCCAAGAAAGUCACCGAGCUUUGCUGAAGCAGCAACCGCAGCAGCCGCACCCCCAAAACUUCUCUUCGUGACAUCCUUAAUACAGUGAAGAGUAAAGGAGGUACCACGUGCUAAUUGAAUUUGUUUUUCUACCGGAAUCAUCUCUCCAAAUUCUACAACCGUUAUAUUUUCAAGAAAGCCCAAAGAGGACAGUGAAUUUGAAGGUGCUAUUCCGAUCCAGAGACUUCCACCUCCUGCCCUGCUUCUCGCCCCUGCUAAAAUGUCAAGCCUCUGGCCGCUACCAGUCAGAUCCCAAACAAGCGUGUGAAUAACAAUGGGAAGUGUGACAAUUCCCUAGUUUUUUGUUUUUGUUUUUUUUUUUAAACCUUCUCAGGAAGAGCUUGACUAUGGAGAAAUCUAUGUUUAGACUGUUGUCUUUUGUAUUUGGUUUAGUAAACUGCAUUUCAAGGCCCCUAGGAUGCAAGUUAUACUCAUUAUAUGCUCAAACAAUUUCCCCUUCAACAUGAUUUUCACGUCAGAAUGAUAAAGGGUAACAGAAAAAUAAGAACCAUUGCGGCACCAAACUGACCCAUCAUUAGUGUAAAACCUUAAAUGAGUACAAUUGAACUGUUUGUUGAUGCAUAUAUAUAUGGUAAAUAAAGGUAAAGAUUGAUUUUUGUUAUCUCUAUGAUGAAAGGG